GCAGUGGCUCAGGAGAAAAGCCCCCGCUUGGUAUGCAGAAGGUCCCAGGUUCAAUUCCUGGUAUCUCCA
rnacentral:tRNA from 1 species